GCUCAGUCCCGGCCCCACCGCCCGCUUCUCAUCUGUAAGCUGAGGGCAAUAAUCGUUCCAGAUCUCGCGGUUGUCACGAGAAAAAACAUCCUGCGUCAGGGAAAGGUGGAAAGGACCUUCAGAUCCUUAAAGGAGUCACCCCCGAGGGCACGGAGGAUGGGGACGGAGGUCGGCAACCCUGGCGGCAGACUGGGCUUGGCCACAAGCUCAGAGUUCGCUCCCGCCCAGUAUCUGACUGCUUGCUGUCCUUAGGCCUCUGGGUGGGCUUACGGAGUGUGAGAACCUUGCACGUCAUACCCUGGAAUGCCAGGAGUUUCACAUUAACCAUCUGUGGGGUCCCAAAGAGCAACAGAUCGUGUCACAGUGAGAUUUGUAUCUCUGUAUCACAACAAGACUGGCUUAGAGAAGAUGCCUCGUGGAAGUGUAUGAACAAACAAACGAAUGAAUGAAUGGACAGCCAUAGGGGCAGGGGUGAGGCGGUCGAGGGGAGGCUACUUUCCCAGCAUCUUGAGCAGCAGCCUGAGCUGUACAUGAUCAUGAGGCUCACUCCCUGGGGACCUUCCCUCUGUCACUUUGCAGCUUGAGACCCAGUCCUCUGCGGAUGUCCUGGUUUCCCAAUGCAGCACGGGUGUGGACAGCUGAAGCUGUCCUUGCCUCCUAACCACCCCCAGCCCCUUUCGCAUUCUCUGGACUCGAGGGGAAGCCAGGAUAUUGUCCUUCAAAAGGCUGUCAUCGUUUUUAAGUUGAUUGUCAAUGUAAUAUGGAGGCUAUGAAAAAUCUGGGAACGUACAAAGUCUAAAGAAGAAAAUAAAAUCAUUGGUAAGCCUGUCA